UCCGUAGGCGGGCGACUAAGUCAGAGGUGAAAUCCCACAGCUUAACUGUGGAACUGCCUUUGAUACUGGUUGUCUUGAGUUUUAGUGAAGUAGAUAGAAUGUGUAGUGUAGCGGUGAAAUGCAUAGAUAUUACACAGAAUACCGAUUGCGAAGGCAGUCUACUAACUAACAACUGACGCUAAUGGACGAAAGCGUGGGGAGCGAACAGGAUUAGAUACCCUGGUAGUCC
rnacentral:rRNA from 1 species